CCCCCACCUUAGCAGCAAUAUACCAACGUAGUCUGCUUACAGAAUAUACAUUUAUCAACUCAUUCGGUAUUUAAGAGCUUGCACUUUCUACUCAGACUUAUUAAACGUCAUCAGUGUCUGAGCAAAAAGUUGAUUGAUCAGGGAUUUGUCAAAGAACGCCUCGUCUUUUUUCGACAAAAAAAUCAUCGGAAGAUACUUAGACCAUGCUGA
rnacentral:lncRNA from 1 species